GGGGAAUAUUGGACAAUGGGCGCAAGCCUGAUCCAGCCAUGCCGCGUGAGUGAUGAAGGCCCUAGGGUUGUAAAGCUCUUUCACCGGUGAAGAUAAUGACGGUAACCGGAGAAGAAGCCCCGGCUAACUUCGUGCCAGCAGCCGCGGUAAUACGAAGGGGGCUAGCGUUGUUCGGAAUUACUGGGCGUAAAGCGCACGUAGGCGGGUAUUUAAGUCAGGGGUGAAAUCCCGGAGCUCAACUCCGGAACUGCCUUUGAUACUGGGUACCUAGAGUAUGGAAGAGGUGAGUGGAAUUCCGAGUGUAGAGGUGAAAUUCGUAGAUAUUCGGAGGAACACCAGUGGCGAAGGCGGCUCACUGGUCCAUGACUGACGCUGAGGUGCGAAAGCGUGGGGAGCAAAC
rnacentral:rRNA from 1 species